UCCCUUAUCCUCUCACGGUCUCUCCUUUGGUCCUUCCCAUGUCGACUCCAUGUGGGUGGCCGCCGUUCUUCUCUUCCAAUCAAAUCCACGACGAGGAGGCCACACCCUUCUCCUCCGGCCAGAUCCAUGCCAUGGGAACCUCCCUUCUUCUUCUCCAGCCAGAUCCACGACGUGGUGGCCGCGCCCUUCUACCCCAGCCAGAUCCAUGCCAUGGGAACCUCAGGAAGCUCCGCCGCCUCAUCCUUGAUGCCAAGCUCACGCCCUUCCACCGGGGCGCCGACGACGCGCGCGCCGACCUCGACGAGUGCCCCAUCUACUUCCUGGUAACCAUCCUCUUCCCCAUCUGCCCCAGAUGCAGUUCUACACUAAUUACUCCUCGUUAUGCUGCUCUGUGGCGACGCCGAGGCAUCCGGGCCUUCCUCCAGAUUUCAUCUCCAAGGACGUAGGUCCCCGGCUGCUGCGCGUGCCGUGUCGUACAACUCCCCAAGCAAGGAGGAGCCGCCAGUCCUGUUGCUCCUCCAUUUUCUAUAUGUGAGUAUAGUAGUUUCUGAAACUAACAGCCGGAUUUCUUCAUCUAAAUUGCAUCAGUUCCUAGAUGUACUACAUGCUGCUGCUCUCAACGCACUGGGAUAUGAUGCACUUAUGGUUGAUUUAACUGAAAUGCUUAAUGAUUUGUGCUCAACGGAUUUCUGGAACUUUUGUAACACUGAAGUUACUGAAUUUGAGUUCUUGUAACUGAAUUGCAUGUGACUUUGUUUGACGAGUGGCUGCUUGGACAAUACUUUGAUAAAUAAACAAAGGUAAACAUAGUCCAAUGCAGAAACUAUCAUGACACUCCAAAACAAUUCUGUCCCAUGAUUUUGCUUCAAGUAGCACAUCUUAUGGACAGCAAGUGAAUUGAAGUGCUCGUGAAUACUAAUGUUUAGUUGUUUAGACUCCCUAGAUAUCAAAUCUUUUAGUUCAAACUUAGAUAUUGUGAUAGUCACUCUAAUGGUUGUGAGCUAGGCCAAUCUGUGGCUUGAUGUUCAAUGUGGCUGUUGUGGACAUGCUAGUACAUGAAUGAAUUAUUGUUUGGUGAAUCUUACGAGUUGUGAUGCAUGUUGAUGAA